UAUAAUUUGACGUUAGCGACAGAAGAAGCACCGGCUAACUCCGUGCCAGCAGCCGCGGUAAUACGGAGGGUGCGAGCGUUAAUCGGAAUUACUGGGCGUAAAGCGCAUGCAGGUGGUUUGUUAAGUCAGAUGUGAAAGCCCGGGGCUCAACCUCGGAAUUGCAUUUGAAACUGGCAGACUAGAGUACUGUAGAGGGGGGUAGAAAUUCAGGUGUAGCGGUGAAAUGCGUAC
rnacentral:rRNA from 1 species